rnacentral:lncRNA from 1 species
GCCAACAUUCAUCUUUGAAGAAAUUAUCCAAUAGUAUGGGAACUCGUGGUUAGACAAUGACCACCAUCGUUACGAUGGUCAACAAUGAUAUUGGGAGCCCAUUGCGAGGACAACGAUGUCAUCCAAAAUUUUGAAAUUUUGGGAGGGCUAUUCUCCAAAGGCAAUGGCUGACUCCAGAAUGUAGGAAACCACGAACCAUGAAGAAAGAGGGCAAAACAAGGGGCCACGAAUUCCAGCUUCGAAUGCAAAUCUCGCAAUCAGCUACUCUUAGCCAAGACUGCAAGAUUAGACAAGCGCGUAGGCACACAGGAGUG